UACAGAGGUCUCAAGCGUUGUUCGGAUUCAUUGGGCGUAAAGGGUGCGUAGGUGGCGCCGUAAGUCAGGUGUGAAAUUUCGGAGCUUAACUCCGAAACUGCAUUUGAUACUGCGGUGCUUGAGGACUGGAGAGGAGACUGGAAUUCACGGUGUAGCAGUGAAAUGCGUAGAUAUCGUGAGGAAGACCAGCGGCGAAGGCGGGUCUCUGGACAGUUCCUGACACUGAGGCACGAAGGCCAGGGGAGCGAACGGG
rnacentral:rRNA from 1 species